rnacentral:rRNA from 1 species
CAUAGCGACUAUCGUGGCAUAUCAAUAAGCGGAGGAAAAGAAACUAACAAGGAUUCCCCUAGUAACGGCGAGUGAAGCGGGAAGAGCUCAAAUUUGAAAUCUUAAAGGGUUUCCCUUUACGAAUUGUAGUUUAAAGAAGUGUUUUCUGUUGGAGUUUCGGUAAAAGUUCUUUGGAAUAGGACAUCAUAGAGGGUGAGAAUCCCGUAUUUGACCGUUACUUUCCAGCUGUGUGAUACACUUUCAAAGAGUCGGAUUGUUUGGGAAUGCAGUCCAAAAUGGGUGGUAAAUUUCAUCUAAAGCUAAAUAUUGGCGAGAGACCGAUAGCGAACAAGUACCGUGAGGGAAAGAUGAAAAGAACUUUGAAAAGAGAGUUAAACAGUACGUGAAAUUGUCAAAAGGGAAGCGUUUGACACCAGUGUUGUUUAGUUCCGAAAAUCAAUUCACUAAUUUUUGAUUUUGAGUAGUUAUGACUUCAUCAGCUUGCUGCCUUUCUUUAUCGAAACUUUCUUGAAUGCACUUUUCAGUUAACAAGUCAACAUCAAUUUCUUUUGUUGUAAAAGGGUGUGAGGAAGGUGGCUUUCUUUUCGGAGAAAGUGUUUAUAGCCUUGUGCCUCUGCAAUCGGAGAGAUUGAGGUCUGCAGCGUAGAUCCUUCGGGGUUAGAUACGUUUGUGCUAAGUUAUGGCCUUUCAUAGACAACUUGUUGACUAUGAUCAGUCAUGUAGCUUACUCGCUUAUGCUAUUUUACCUACGCUUAGGAUGUUGAUAGUCACAGCGUGUAC